ACCUGGGCUGGAUAUUGUGAUGUCACAGAGUGGAAUCCUCACUCCUCCAGAUGGUCCAGCUGAGGCCCUCUUGGACAACACUUCCUCUCCUGCCCAUGGUGGGAGGUUGGGAAGGACAUUCCCCCAUUUCCAUUUGCUCUGCCAUUCAAAACCUUGUGAGGGCCCUCAGGGAAGAAUCCCUUUGCAGGUCAUAAACUGACCUGCAGAAUUAUGGGAUCUUAACUGUGGGGAGAGACCUAGAAGACCGGCUAGUGACCAGAUUCUCAUCUAACUCCUUUUUUUUUGCAGAUGAGGAAACUGAGGCCCCACGUGGUGAAGACAAUUUUUACCCGAAUCCACCCACAACAAGAGACCAUUUGGAUAAUGUACAUUAUGGGAAGAGAACAGAGUCUCAGUGAAGAUCAUGUUUCCCCAGCAACACAGGUGCCAGGAGUAGCUGGCUCUGGUCCCAGCCCAGACUCAGAAAUCCUGAGCCACCAGACCAUUUCUAGAUUAACAAUGACCCACUGGAAACCAGUGUCAGCAUAACAACAGUUACGAGAGCUAAACCUACAAAAUAGAAACACAAGUAAAACUUGUUCAAGUGGUUUGCAGUCAUUGAACAUAGAUCAGCUCCUAUGAAAACAAACUCCAUGGAACACAGGAGCUAUGUGGAGAGUUGAUGGAGGGACAUUCCAGGCAGAGAGAACAGCAAACACAAAGGCCUUGAAGGGAGCGGUGGCUUACAUCUGCAAUCCCACCACUUUGGGAGGCUGAGGCAGGUGGAUUGCUUGAUCUCAGGAGUUCGAGACCAGCCUGGGCAAUGUGGUGAAACCCAGUCUCUACCAAAAAAUACAAAAAUUAGCCGGGCAUGGUGAGCAUGCCUCUGGUCCCAGCUACCCAGGAGGCUGAGGUGGGAGAAUCACUUGAGCCUAGAAGGUCAAGGCUGCAGUGAGCCGUGAUUGAGCCACUGCAUUCCAGCCUGGGUGAUAGGGCUCAACACCACAUGGAAGCUGCCAAGGCUUGGGGCUCGCACCAUCUGAAGACAUGGUCUGAACUCUACGUUGGCCCUUUCAGCCAUGGCUGGAGCAGCUGGAACGCAGGGCAUCAAGUCUCUUGGCUGCACACAGCUCAGGGAAGCUGGACCUGGCCCAUGAAACCACUUUUUCUUCCUAUGCCUCCAGACCUGUGAUGGGAGGAGCUGCCAUGAAGACCUCUGACAUGCCCUAGAAACAUUUUCCCCAUUGUCUUAGGGAUUAACAUUCUGUGCCUUGUUGCUUAAGUAAAUUUCUGCCUCAUUGUCAGGCUGCAAAUUUUC
rnacentral:lncRNA from 1 species